UGGGGAAUAUUGGACAAUGGGGGAAACCCUGAUCCAGCAAUGCCGCGUGAGUGAUGAAGGCCUUAGGGUUGUAAAGCUCUUUCGACGGGGACGAUGAUGACGGUACCCGUAGAAGAAGCCCCGGCUAACUUCGUGCCAGCAGCCGCGGUAAGACGAAGGGGGCUAGCGUUGUUCGGAAUUACUGGGCGUAAAGCGCGCGUAGGCGGCUUUUCAAGUCAGAAGUGAAAGCCCCGGGCUCAACCCGGGAAUUGCUUUUGAUACUGUGAAGCUCGAGUCCGGGAGAGGAUAGUGGAAUUCCCAGUGUAGAGGUGAAAUUCGUAGAUAUUGGGAAGAACACCAGUGGCGAAGGCGGCUAUCUGGACCGGUACUGACGCUGAGGCGCGAAAGCGUGGGGAGCAAACAGGAUUAGAUACCCCCGUAGUCC
rnacentral:rRNA from 1 species